UACAGAGGGGGCAAGCGUUAUUCGGAAUUAUUGGGCGUAAAGAGCGCGUAGGCGGCUUUGCAAGUGACGGGUGAAAUCCCUCGGCUUAACCGAGGAACUGCCUGUCAAACUGCAUGGCUUGAGACCGGGAGAGGUGAGUGGAAUUCCCAGUGUAGCGGUGAAAUGCGUAGAUAUUGGGAGGAACACCAGUGGCGAAGGCAGCUCACUGGACCGGUACUGACGCUGAUGCGCGAAAGCGUGGGGAGCAAACAGG
rnacentral:rRNA from 1 species